rnacentral:rRNA from 1 species
GAUGAACGCUGGCGGCGUGCAUAACACAUUCAAGUCGAACGGAGUGUAGCAAUACACUUAGUGGCGGACGGGUGAGUAACACGUGAGCAACCUGCCUGUGUGAGGGGGACAACAGCCGGAAACAGCCGCUGAUACCGCAUGAUGUAUUCGAAUCGCAUGGUUUGAAUACCAAAGAUUUAUCGCACACAGAUGGGCUCGCGUCCGAUUAGUUAGAUGGUGAGGUAACGGCUCACCAUGACUGCGAUCGGUAGCCGGACUGAGAGGUUGAACGGCCACAUUGGAACUGAGAUACGGUCCAG